UAAUUGGGCGUUAAGUUGCAGGGUAUAGACCCGAAACCCGGUGAUCUAGCCAUGGGCAGGUUGAAGGUUGGGUAACACUAACUGGAGGACCGAACCGACUAAUGUUGAAAAAUUAGCGGAUGACCUGUGGCUGGGGGUGAAAGGCCAAUCAAACCGGGAGAUAGCUGGUUCUCCCCGAAAGCUAUUUAGGUAGCGCCUCGUGAAUUCAUCUCCGGGGGUAGAGCACUGUUUCGGCUAGGGGGCCAUCCCGGCUUACCAACCCGAUGCAAACUGCGAAUACCGGAGAAUGCUAUCACGGGAGACACACGGCGGGUGCUAACGUCCGUCGUGAAGAGGGAAACAACCCAGACCGCCAGCUAAGGUCCCAAAGUCAUGGUUAAGUGGGAAACGAUGUGGGAAGGCCCAGACAGCCAGGAUGUUGGCUUAGAAGCAGCCAUCAUUUAAAGAAAGCGUAAUAGCUCACUGGUCGAGUCGGCCUGCGCGGAAGAUGUAACGGGGCUAAACCAUGCACCGAAGCUGCGGCAGCGACACUCAGGUGUUGUUGGGUAGGGGAGCGUUCUGUAAGCCUGUGAAGGUGGCCUGUGAGGGUUGCUGGAGGUAUCAGAAGUGCGAAUGCUGACAUAAGUAACGAUAAAGCGGGUGAAAAGCCCGCUCGCCGGAAGACCAAGGGUUCCUGUCCAACGUUAAUCGGGGCAGGGUGAGUCGACCCCUAAGGCGAGGCCGAAAGGCGUAGUCGAUGGGAAACGGGUUAAUAUUCCCGUACUUGGUGUUACUGCGAAGGGGGGACGGAGAAGGCUAUGUUGGCCGGGCGACGGUUGUCCCGGUUUAAGCGUGUAGGUGUGUGUUCCAGGUAAAUCCGGUUCACUUUAACACUGAGGCGUGAUGACGAGGCACUACGGUGCUGAAGCAACAAAUGCCCUGCUUCCAGGAAAAGCCUCUAAGCAUCAGGUAACAUCAAAUCGUACCCCAAACCGACACAGGUGGUCAGGUAGAGAAUACCAAGGCGCUUGAGAGAACUCGGGUGAAGGAACUAGGCAAAAUGGUGCCGUAACUUCGGGAGAAGGCACGCUGACACGUAGGUGAAGUGAUUUACUCAUGGAGCUGAAGUCAGUCGAAGAUACCAGCUGGCUGCAACUGUUUAUUAAAAACACAGCACUGUGCAAACACGAAAGUGGACGUAUACGGUGUGACGCCUGCCCGGUGCCGGAAGGUUAAUUGAUGGGGUCAGCGCAAGCGAAGCUCCUGAUCGAAGCCCCGGUAAACGGCGGCCGUAACUAUAACGGUCCUAAGGUAGCGAAAUUCCUUGUCGGGUAAGUUCCGACCUGCACGAAUGGCGUAAUGAUGGCCAGGCUGUCUCCACCCGAGACUCAGUGAAAUUGAACUCGCUGUGAAGAUGCAGUGUACCCGCGGCAAGACGGAAAGACCCCGUGAACCUUUACUAUAGCUUGACACUGAACAUUGAGCCUUGAUGUGUAGGAUAGG
rnacentral:rRNA from 1 species